GCUGGGCAUGGUGGCCCAUGCCUGUAAUCCCAGCUACUCAGGAGGCUGAGGCAGGAGAAUAGCUUGAACCCAGGAGGCAGUGGUUGCAGUGAGCCAAGAUCUUGACAUUGCAUUCCACCCUGGGCGACAGAGCAAGACUCUGUCUCCA
ensembl:misc_RNA Metazoa_SRP Metazoan signal recognition particle RNA